rnacentral:rRNA from 1 species
GACGAACGCUGGCGGCGUGCCUAAUACAUGCAAGUUGAGCGCUGAAGGUUGGUACUUGUACCAACUGGAUGAGCAGCGAACGGGUGAGUAACGCGUGGGGAAUCUGCCUUUGAGCGGGGGACAACAUUUGGAAACGAAUGCUAAUACCGCAUAAAAACUUUAAACACAAGUUUUAAGUUUGAAAGAUGCAAUUGCAUCACUCAAAGAUGAUCCCGCGUUGUAUUAGCUAGUUGGUGAGGUAAAGGCUCACCAAGGCGAUGAUACAUAGCCGACCUGAGAGGGUGAUAGGCCACAUUAGGACUGAGACACGGCCCAAACUCCUACGGGAGGCAGCAGUAGGGAAUCGUCGGCAAUGGACGAAAGUCUGACCGAGCAACGCCGCGUGAGUGAAGAAGGUUUUCGGAUCGUAAAACUCUGUUGGUAGAGAAGAACGUUGGUGAGAGUGGAAAGCUCAUCAAGUGACGGAAACGACCCAGAAAGGGACGGCUAACUACGU